CCUAAAGUCUCAAGCACAGGAAGAUUUCAGUUUGGGUCCCCAAACCCUCCUGAGUCAACCUGCAGGAGGCUGCAGAAGGUCCAAGCGUGGUGGCCUUCAGGAGGACCUUGCUGGGUUGUGUGGUGGAGAAGCUGAAGGUUGUGGAGCUGCUUCCUGGCAGGAGAAGAUAAAACUUUGCAAAUAUAGAAAUUUGUAGCCAUAAAA